rnacentral:rRNA from 1 species
AACGAACGCUGGCGGCAGGCCUAACACAUGCAAGUCGAACGCCCUAGCAAUAGGGAGUGGCAGACGGGUGAGUAACGCGUGGGAACCUUCCUGUUGGUGCGGAAUAACUCGCCGAAAGGCGAGCUAAUACCGCAUAAGCCCGCAAGGGGAAAGAUUUAUCGCCAUCAGAUGGGCCCGCGUCGGAUUAGCUAGUUGGUGGGGUAACGGCUCACCAAGGC